AUCGCUUCUCGGCCUUUUGGCUAAGAUCAAGUGUAUUUAAAGGGCAGAUCAAUUGGGAAACUCAUAAAUUACAUUUUGUUUUGUCAUUCAAUAUUUUAAAAUAUUUGUGACAUUACUUAAAAUAGUAACAUUGUCUUACCCAGU
rnacentral:snRNA from 1 species